rnacentral:sRNA from 1 species
UGUUGCAUUUUACACACAUCAACUCCGCAGUUAAGCGGGCUUGGGCGAGAGUAGUACUAGGAUGGGUGUUCCCCUGGGAAGUCCUCGUGUUGCAACCC